rnacentral:rRNA from 1 species
GACGAACGCUGGCGGCGUGCUUAACACAUGCAAGUCGAACGGUGAUCCCAGGAGCUUGCUUCUGGGUGAGCAGUGGCGAACGGGUGAGUAACACGUGAGUAACCUGCCCCUGACUCUGGAAUAAGCGCUGGAAACGGCGUCUAAUACCGGAUACGAGACGCAACCGCAUGGUUAGUGUCUGGAAAGUUUUUCGGUCUGGGAUGGACUCGCGGCCUAUCAGCUUGUUGGUGAGGUAAUGGCUCACCAAGGCGAUGACGGGUAGCCGGCCUGAGAGGGCGAUCGGCCACACUGGGACUGAGACACGGCCCAGGCUCCUACGGGAGGCAGCAGUGGGGAAUAUUGCACAAUGGGCGAAAGCCUGAUGCAGCGACGCCGCGUGAGGGAUGACGGCCUUCGGGUUGUAAACCUCUUUCAGCAGGGAAGAAGCGCAAGUGACGGUACCUGCAGAAGAAGCACCGGCUAACUACGUGCCAGCAGCCGCGGUAA